rnacentral:tRNA from 1 species
GGGAGGAUGGCCGAGUGGUUUAAGGCGGCAGAUUUAAGUCCUAUACAAACCAUACAAGACCUAUUCUCUGCUUUCCGUUGGAAGCGUGGGUUCGAACCCCACUCCUCUCA